CUGGGGAGCCUUCAUUGUCCUGAGAGAGCAUCCCAGGGAGGUGACUGUGCCCUGAACUACAGCAAUGGCUCAUCUCUAACUGGGAAAGUCCCCUCCAGCACCCCCACCAUGUGACUGGCGAGAACAGGAAUAAAGCCUUGCACUGGGAAAGGAUUUCUGCUCCUCAGGAAACCUCAAACGCACAAUGAUUUCCAUGAACACACCACAGCCUGAACAUAACUGUGCUAACCUGUGCCAGGGCAUUCCCCAGAACAGGAACAAUUGCAAACCUUUUCCAGGGCAGGUUUCAGCAGCUCUGUCUGAGCCCUGGUGUGCUGGAUGAACCAUGGGGCACCACAGGCUGCAGCUCAGCUUCGGGCCCUGCUGGAGCUUCAGGAGAGCCUCUCCCAGCUGAUACCCAAAGGAGCAGCUCUGGAUGGAUUCCCUUCAUGGGAAGAACCCCUGGGUGCCAAGUUUUGCUAAAAUAGCACUGCUUUUACCAUUGAAAUCUCUCUGGUGUGAUGGAUGGGGUGAGAGGAGCAAGUGCUGUCCUCAGCAGUCUGAGCAGGACUAAAAAUGGACCCAGUGCAGAUGGUCAGGGUCUGCAGCAGAAAGGGGAGCUGAAAUGCUGAGCCCUGGUCUGGAGCCUCAGCUGCACAGAGCAGGUGUAUUUGCCCCUUGAAAGAGGAUUUCAGGGAGCAAGGAGGAGACAGCAGAGGGGAGGAGCUGCACAUGACCCAGGUUCUAGAAGAAGUCUAAAAAGGCAGUUACUUGUUGGCCAAUGUCCCAUUCAGCUGCUCUGAGCUGGCAUUAACCUGACCAGCUUGUGACAAAGCUGCAGCCUGAAAUUGUUGAGCUUUGCUCCUUGCAAGUGAGGACACUUCAUCAGCCACCACGGGAGGCAGAGCUGGCAGUGGCAGGGACAGCAAAUCAGUAAUUGCCAUGGUCCUGCUGCUAUUCCUCUCCCCUAGAAGCAAACACCUGAAGGUGAUGAAGAACCUCAAGCUCAAGUUUUAUUGGUCCUUGUCCUUGCACACCUUGCUAAGGAGGGACUUUUCCCAUCUUGGCAGCAGCUGAUGACUGUGGGGCUCUCACCUCCAGCUCUGCUCCCACCUGUGGCCUGCAGAGCCCUCAGCUGCAGCUCCCACAGCAGAGCCAGGGCUGCUCCUGCCUGUGCAGACCAACUGUGGGACACUGGGGACUUGGGGGAGCUGCUGGGCCACCAACUCCACCUGUUUGUGCAAAGAGCCCACAUGCCACAGAGUGAGCUGGUGCCUUGUGGUUUAUGGCAGGAGUGGGUCCAGAACUGACAGCUGCCAGCUUUUAGCAGCCUGGAGAAUCCUUGAUGAUCACCGAGGGCGCCAGCAGCCUGUAUGCAAAUAGUAACUCUUCUGUUUCUUGUUCCUUCACCCCCGUGGUGACUUUUAUUACUUAAUUAUUGCACACCACAUGCUUCAAAACAGCCUAAUCUAUGGUUGUGUUUUCUAAUGAUACUGGAUGUGCAAUCCAGCAAUAUCCAUCCCAAGGGGACAUUCAUAUCAGAGGAGACAUCCUUCUGCAGGCCUCCUGUUUCAUAGAUCACAUGCUGCAGGGCUUUUCAAG